GAAUGGUUUUAAACUGAGACAGAGGAGGUUUAGGUUGGAUGUUAGGAGGAAGAUUUUCCCCCAGAGGGUGGUGACGCACUGAACAGGUUGCCCAAGGAGGCUGUGGAUGCCCCAUCCCUGCAGGCAUUGAAGGCCAGGCUGGAUGUGGCUCUGGGCAGCCUGGGCUGCUGGUUGGCGACCCUGCACAUAGCAGGGGGUUGGAACUGGAUGAGCAUUGUGGUCCUUUGCAACCCAGGCCAUUCUAUGAUAUGAUUCCUCACCGGGGCUGCUACUCCAAUACUCCUCCAAAUAUCAAUUCACUGUAAUUUAUUGUAAUUCUGUGCUGCUCAAGGGGGUCAGAGCGAUGACUUUGUUGUCCUCUAAUUAAAAUGGUUUAUACUGUGAGCGAACCUUGCUGUAUAAUGGAAGAAAUAACAGAAUGAUGUAUCGUAUCAUCUCUUUAAAUUAUUUUGUUUAUUGUCUGUGUUAGAUAUUAAAAAUUAUGUCAUAAAGUGGGUAGCUGCAGAGAAUUUC
rnacentral:lncRNA from 1 species